AUUGAACGCUGGCGGCAUGCUUUACACAUGCAAGUUCGAACGGCAGCACAGGGAGCUUGCUCCCGGGUGGCGAGUGGCGCACGGGUGAGUAAUACAUCGGAACGUGUCCUGUUGUGGGGGAUAACUGCUCGAAAGGGUGGCUAAUACCGCAUGAGACCUGAGGGUGAAAGCGGGGGAUCGCAAGACCUCGCGCAAUUGGAGCGGCCGAUGCCCGAUUAGCUAGUUGGUGAGGUAAAGGCGUCACCAAGGCGACGAUCGGUAGCUGGUCUGAGAGGACGACCAGCCACACUGGGACUGAGACACGGCCCAGACUCCUACGGAGGCAGCAGUGGGGAAUUUUGGACAAUGGGGGCAACCCUGAUCCAGCCAUGCCGCGUGCAGGAUGAAGGCC
rnacentral:rRNA from 1 species